CUAACUGGAUAAUAAACUGACUAUCAGUUAUGUGUCGUUAAUGAUAUCUACCUUGUAAGUGCACUUACCCUGCACAUAACCCGUGCAGUUGCUAAAUGUUCACUAAUAAGUUUUUGGAGAUAACCUGCCAAAUUUUAAUUGCCUCUGAAUAUUUCAGUUCCUAAGAUUUUCACUACUCGUGGCUACUAGAGACCUGAUAUGCACCACUGCUGAAUCUACAAAAUCCAAAGAGUAAUGAUGGCGGUGAUCAAAUUUGGUGAUGAAGCCAAUUCAUAGAUAAAGGGGGCCUGUUUAAAUUCAUUUAAAGAAAUUUAAAAUGGCACUUCAUGAGAAAAAGGCAGCCCACCCCAGGGUAAACUAACAAUCGUUCUCCAUCUAGCUAUUUAUUGCCUUUGUUCACAACAGGAACAUCUAAAACCUGAGGGGGAAAGUCUUUAUAAACCUAUUUGUGCAUGUAGAUUGGUGUUUGAAGAGCCUGGAGGUAGCUGACGCUUUUGUACUUGCAUAGCAUUGACGUCCGUGUGGAGGCUCAUCAGAAUCUCAAAAGCUGAUGUUUAUGCAAUUUCACGCGGGAUGAAAUUUAAUACGUACCCGCUCGAUUGCGUUUGCCCUACUGUGCAUUACCCUAAACCCUCCUUUACACGCCUUUAAAAAGCCGAGUGAUCUUCGUUCACAUAGUCCUCAACCGUCGACAGCCGAAGGUGAAAUUUUAAUUCGUAUGCUCUUGCUGGCUUGCAAAGGGACUGAAAUGGUUCUUCGACACAGGAUUUCAGUUUCAUUCCUCAUCCUUUCAAAUCUGAUCGCGGUUUCAGCAGAAUCAUGUGACAAUCGAUGUCUGGCAAAUUCUGUAAUUGCCAA